rnacentral:rRNA from 1 species
AACGAACGCUGGCGGCAUGCCUAACACAUGCAAGUCGAACGAGACCUUCGGGUCUAGUGGCGCACGGGUGCGUAACGCGUGGGAACCUGCCCUUAGGUUCGGAAUAACUCCCCGAAAGGGGUGCUAAUACCGGCUAAUGUCUUCGGACCAAAGAUUUAUCGCCUUUGGAUGGGCCCGCGUUGGAUUAGCUAGUUGGUAGGGUAAAAGCCUACCAAGGCGACGAUCCAUAGCUGGUCUGAGAGGAUGAUCAGCCACACUGGGACUGAGACACGGCCCAGACUCCUACGGGAGGCAGGAGUGGGGAAUAUUGGACAAUGGGCGGAAGCCUGAUCCAGCAAUGCCGGGUGAGUGAUGAAAGCCUUAGGGUUGUAAAGCUAUUUUACCCGGGAUGAUAAUGACAGUACCGGGAGAAUAAGCUCCGGCUAACUCCGUG